rnacentral:rRNA from 1 species
GAUAGAACGCUAGCGGCAGGCUUAAUACAUGCAAGGUCGAGGGGCAUCAAGGUACACGAAAGUGUAUUGUUGGCGACCGGCGGACGGGUGAGUAAUAGGUAGGUAACCUACCUCAUACUGAGGCAUAGCUGGGAGAAAUUCCAGGUAAUUCCUCAUGAGGUUAUAUGACACAUGUGAUAUAAUCAAAGGUAUCGCAAGGUACUGGUAUGAGAUGGGCUUACUGACCAUUAGCUAGUUGGUGAGAUAAGAGCUCACCAAGGCGAAGAUGGUUAGGGGUUUGAGAGAGAGAUCCCCCACAUUGGAACUGAGAUACGGUCCAGACUCCUACGGGAGGCAGCAGUAGGGAAUAUUGGGCAAUGGGCGGAAGCCUGACCCAGCCAUGCCGCGUGAGGGAAGAAGGCCUUCGGGUUGUAAACCUCUGUCAUGGGGGAAGAAGUAAGUGACGGUACCCCAAGAGGAAGCCCCUGCUAACUACGUG